rnacentral:rRNA from 1 species
AGAAUCAACGCUGGCGGCGUGCCUAACACAUGCAAGUCGAACGAGAAAGUGGAGCAAUCCAUGAGUAAAGUGGCGCACGGGUGAGUAACACGUGACUAACCUACCCUUGAGUGGGGAAUAAACUGAGGGAAACCUUAGCUAAUACCGCAUAACACCUACGGGUCAAAGGAGCAAUUCGCUUAAGGAGGGGGUCGCGGCAGAUUAGCUAGUUGGCGGGGUAAUGGCCCACCAAGGCAGUGAUCUGUA